UUAUACCAGGGGGCAAAUCUCAACUUUAUUAGAAGAGACGCAUUUAUUAGAUAAAAAGCCAAUGCAUGCUUUUACAGUAUGGAAAUUGGUGAUUUAUAAUAACUUGGCAAAUCGCAAAGUGAAAACAGGCGAUAAAUCAUUCAAGUUUCUGACCUAUCAGCUUUCGACGGUAUGGUAUUGGCUUACCGUGGCAGUGACGGUUAACGGGGGAUUAGGGUUCGAUUCCGGAGAGGGAGCCUGAGAAACGGCUACCACAUCUAAGGAAGGCAGCAGGCGCGCAAAUUACCCAAUUCUAACAGUUUGAGAGAGGUAGUAACAAGAAAUAACAAUACAAGGCAAUUAAAAUGCUUUGUAAUUGGAAUGAUAGAAAUUUAAACCCUUUUUAAAGUAUCAAUUGGAGGGCAAGUCUGGUGCCAGCAGCCGCGGUAAUUCCAGCUCCAAUAGCGUAUAUUAAAAUUGUUGCAGUUAAAAAGCUCGUAGUUGAAGUUCUGCUAAAAGUAACCGGUCUGCUUUUAAUAAAAGUGGUAUCUUGGUGUGUAUUUAGCAAUGAUGUCCUUUGAAGUGUUUUUUACUUUAUUGUAAUAAAGCAUAUUCAGGACUUUUACUUUGAGAAAAUUAGAGUGUUUCUAGCAGGCCGACGCUUUGAAUACUGCAGCAUGGAAUAAUAAGA
rnacentral:rRNA from 1 species